UGUGUAGUAGGGUCCUGUAGGGUGGUUGUGGUAGUAGGUGUCCUGUAUGGGGGGUUUGUGGUAGUAGGUGUCCUGUAUGGGGGGUUGUGGUAGUAGGUGUCCUGUAUGGUGGGUUGUGGUAGUAGGUGUCCUGUAUGGUGAGUUGUGGUAGUAGGAGUCCUGUAUGGUGGGUUGGUAGUAGCUGUCAUGUAUGGGGAGUUGUGGUAGUAGGUGUCCUGUAUGGUGAGUUGUGGUAGGAGGUGCCUGUAUGGUGGUUAGUUAUGGUAGUAGAGUCCUGUUAUGGUGGGGUGUGGUAGUAGCUGUCCUGUAUGGUGGGUUGUGGUAGAAGGUGUCCUGUAUGGUGAGUUGUGGUAGUGUGUCCUGUAUGGUGGGUUGUGGUAGUAGGUGU
rnacentral:lncRNA from 1 species